GUCCACGCCGUAAACGUUGGGCACUAGGUGUUGGUCGUUAUCAACACGAUCCGUGCCGCAGCUAACGCAGUAAGUGCCCCGCCUGGGGAGUACGGUCGCAAGACUAAAACUCAAAGGAAUUGACGGGGGACCGCACAAGCGGCGGAGCAUGUUGCUUAAUUCGAUGCAACGCGAAGAACCUUACCUAGGUUUGACAUGUACGGAAAAGCUACAGAGAUGUGGUGUCCUUCGGGGCCGUACACAGGUGGUGCAUGGCUGUCGU
rnacentral:rRNA from 1 species